rnacentral:rRNA from 1 species
UACGUAGGGUGCGAGCGUUUAAUCGGAAUUACUGGGCGUAAAGCGUGCGCAGGCGGUUUUGUAAGUCAGAUGUGAAAUCCCCGGGCUUAACCUGGGAACUGCGUUUGAAACUACAAGGCUAGAGUGUGGCAGAGGGGGGUGGAAUUCCACGUGUAGCAGGUGAAAUGCGUAGAGAUGUGGAGGAACACCGAUGGCGAAGGCAGCCCCCUGGGUUAACACUGACGCUCAGGCACGAAAGCGUGGGGAGCAAACAGG